rnacentral:rRNA from 1 species
UGGGGAAUAUUGCACAAUGGGCGCAAGCCUGAUGCAGCCAUGCCGCGUGUGUGAAGAAGGCCUUCGGGUUGUAAAGCACUUUCAGCGGGGAGGAAGGCGAUAAGGUUAAUAACCUCAUCGAUUGACGUUACCCGCAGAAGAAGCACCGGCUAACUCCGUGCCAGCAGCCGCGGUAAUACGGAGGGUGCAAGCGUUAAUCGGAAUUACUGGGCGUAAAGCGCACGCAGGCGGUUUGUUAAGUCAGAUGUGAAAUCCCCGGGCUCAACCUGGGAACUGCAUCUGAUACUGGCAAGCUUGAGUCUCGUAGAGGGGGGUAGAAUUCCAGGUGUAGCGGUGAAAUGCGUAGAGAUCUGGAGGAAUACCGGUGGCGAAGGCGGCCCCCUGGACGAAGACUGACGCUCAGGUGCGAAAGCGUGGGGGGCAAACAGG